GGGAGACCGUACCCACUAGAUUCUGAAAGCAAUCAGCAAAUAAGAAAAAAGUAGGUUAUCCCAAGGUCGUGCAAGGGAAAAGGAAAAACUUUCAAACUAUUAGAGUCGGUUCGUACCUAAGAUUAACUUUCCGAAAGGGAAGAUAAAACUUAGAAAAAACCAGACAAGGGCUAUUAGCUCAGUUGGUUAGAGCGCACGGCUGAUAACCGUGAGGUCUCUGGUUCAAGUCCAGAAUGGCCCACUGGAUUAAUCUUUUAGAUUAAUCAUCACGAGCGCGUAAAAAUUGGCAAAAGGAAUCGGCAUCCUAUCUAAACAGUGAAAACUGUAAUAGAGGGAAUGCUGGUUGUAAAACCAGUAAGAACCUUGAAAACUGCAUAGAAAAAGAGAAAAGCAGGGAUAAAAACCAAAGGUCAAGCUACAAAGGGCUAACGGUG
rnacentral:tRNA from 1 species